GUGGGGAAUUUUACGCAAUGGGGGAAACCCUGACGUAGCGACACCGCGUGAGCGAAGAAGCCUUUUGGGGUGUAAAGCUCUGUCAGCUGGAACGAACACAAUGACGGUACCAGCAGAGGAAGCAUCGGCUAACUACGUGCCAGCAGCCGCGGUAAGACGUAGGAUGCAAGCGUUGUCCGGAUUCAUUGGGCGUAAAGAGUUCGUAGGUGGUCUGUUAAGUUUGGUGUUAAAGAGCGGGGCCCAACCCCGAUAGUGCACUGAAUACUGGCAGACUUGAGUGCGGUAGAGGUCAGUGCAAUUCCAAGUGUAGCGGUGAAAUGCAUAGAUAUUUGGAAGAACACCGGUGGCGUAAGCGACUUACUGGGCCGUAACUGACACUGAGGAACGAAAGCCGGGGUAGCGAAUG
rnacentral:rRNA from 1 species